UGAGGUCGGUGGUUCAAGUCCAUUUAGGCCCACCAUAACCACAAAUAGGCAAAAUCUUAAAAAAGCUCUUUGAAAAG
rnacentral:tRNA from 2 species